CCGGAAUUGUUGGCCCGGUAGCCAACGGAAAAAACUGCCGAAACAACGACGUCUUCUCGAUUUUGCUGCAAGCAAGGGUUUGGCGCGUUUGUUUUCCAGCAUCAUCGGUAGCUCUUGACGGUUCGGUUGGCAUCCGGAAGUUUCGAGCGCGGCGACAAAUGUAAUAACGGGACGAGGAGGAGGAGGGAGUCGUGUCUUUUGGCAGGCUCCCAUCAGAAUCAGGCGUUCUUGCUACUUACUACUACCCUGUCUUCGUGGUCGGGAAUCGGGUGUGCCUGCGGAUUGGAAAAGAGUGAGGAGAGAGGAGAACGAGAGGCCGGAACAGUGUGACGACGCAGCAGGUCCCCGGAGAGAUGUUCAGAAAACCCCGCGAAAGAAAUUCUCAUUAUGCGAUGUCGGGCGAGAGGCGUCUCGCCGAGCUUUUCCAAGCUCGAACAAAGCGUACCCCACAUUUCAAAAAAAAACAAACUCUGAAUCUGAACUCAAAAGGGGGCUAUAUAUCCAUCGUACGUGCGUACUACAUGCAACAAGCGCGCGCGCUCUGUAUUGUAUUGUAUGCACGCGUACGUAUAAGUCCCCUCAACCUUUUU
rnacentral:misc_RNA from 1 species